AUUUUGAAGGUUUGAGCGGACAGAACGAGUAGAAGUUUUCUCCAUGGAACAUGGGUGAAAGGAUGGAGGGAAAGAAGCCAAUUGGAUCUAAAGGGUGCGUGGGCUCUCCACGCCUUUAGAGUGGUAUGAGCAGCCCACGCAGUUGGAGUUGACUGAAGACUCCCAGCCCCGGCAUCCGCAAGAGGUUGGUGGAGGAGUGCAGUAGAGCUGUGAACCUCUAUGCUGGGGAGAGCCAGUCGCUAGCUGCGCUGUGCUCAUCUGAGACCGGAAGCUGCUGGGCCUCUGAAGGUACCACAUCCCACAUCUGCAGGAUUUGUUACUCCUCUGCAGCACAACCACGGAAACACAGCCUGGUGCUGUCGGUUUGACUAAUGCUUGCUCAGUCCGGGUCUGAAUGACAGAGGAGGAUCUCCUCGUGCUAUGAUCUAAGUGAACAAUGACAACAGUGAAUGUACGGUAUCUUUCUCUGUGCUUAGUUCCCAACUCAGAACUUAGAGGAUGACAGAAUACCUGGGUUUUUUGCAAUCGUGAAGUUUCAAAACCAGAAAAACUGAUGAAAAGGGGGCAUCAGAGCCUUAUGCAUCAUCUCUUUGUCCUGUGUUUGUUAGAUUACAUCUUAAGUAAUUUGUUAUUUCAACAAUACAAGGACAUGUCAAGAAAACCUUGAUAACUGUUCCUACCACCCAGGAUAAUAGGCUAAUUAUCAAAUUAUACUCUUUGACACACUUCCUGGAUACAGCUGGUGUAACAAAAAUACCAAUACAUAUGAUAUUGAGCUAUCUCUAAAAUGUGCUUUUACUAUGCCCCUCUCUUAAAACCUGUGACAACAACAGCUGUCGCUCAUUUUUCAAACACAUUUCCCUUUCCUUUGUGUGCUCUGGCCCACUUCUAGGUCUUGUGCAAGUGAUGCCCCCUCCCCGGGCUGACUACUCUGCUACCCUGGUCAGUUAGACAAGGCUUCUGGGAUGGCUGACAGAGGAGACCCUCUGAGCUCUCUGCAGUCUGUCUCGGUCCCUGGCAGCUCUUGCCUCAGAGAGCACUGUGGAGAACUCUGGAGUUCUGUCUUGCACAUUUGCAUUGUCUACACAGGGCAGCCUUAUUUCCCCAGCUCUAUUUGGCAUUCUCUGAGGAAUGGAUUAUAAUAUGCAUUUCUUUUGUGUAUUUUAUAAAAAUAGCAUACCAUAGGCAUGCGUAAAAUGCGUUUAGCUCUGUGGCGCUUCUCUGUGUAAUGCAUGGCCAGGCUAUGUUACAAUAUAUCUGUAUCCUAGAACAAUAUAUUGCUAUAAAGAAAUAAUAGCUAACCUGGGAGGUAACCUCAGAAAUUAUCCAGUCAACAUGCAAUACUCUGGCACCUUAAAAUAUAUACUAGUUAUAGUAUAGGUUGGUCUUUUGAGAUCAUGGCCCCAUUUUUCUGACUCAGGAGGAUUUGGCUGUCUCCCUAGCACCAGGGAUAGAAAUACACUUGGCCAAGGCAGUUAAGCCAAGGAUGAGAUAGAAAUGGCCUGCCCAGACAUGUGGGGGCCUGUUCCCACUUGGAACUAUCUCUGAAUACAUUUGGCACUGCGUGACGAUAUUCUGUUUUUUGAAUCAUAACCAAUCAAGAAUGUGGAAACAAGGCCAGGAGAGAAAUGGCAAGAAACUAUCCAAGCACCUAGAGACCUGGGUUUGAGCUAACCUCAUCCACUCAGAUGUUAGGUAGCUAAGGGCAAGUCACAUGGCUAGAUUCCUCACUAGAAAACAUGGGUUCAAAAUGACUAACUCACCCAAAGUGAGAAGCAAGGAAUAUCUGAUUUUAUGAGGAAAACUAUCCCAUGAGGAGGUCUUGGUGAGAGAAGCUCACACUGACAGGACAGCGGAUCCCUGGCCUGCCAGCCCAGAAAGCAGAAGAACCUUUGUGUUUGGAGCUGGUCACAGCAAAGUAGUGGACCAGUUGUGCAUAGUUCUAAAACACCUCUUUUUUCUUUCUUUUUUUCAAGACCUAAAUAACUACAGAAGAGUUCUAGCUAACAGUUUGGUUAAAUUCCCUACCACCUAGUAAGCUCCGUGAAGUGAAAUCUUAGAUCAGUACUUUGAGAAGCCCAAGUGAUAUAUCUGUGUACAUGGGAUGUGGGGUCUGAUCCUUUUGUGAAUAUCUCACAAAAGUUACACCUUUAACUCUGAGUACCACUUCAAAGGGAGGAUUAAUUUUUACUUCAGAUUGUUCAUGGCAACACUACUGGUAAUAGCAGAACUGUCAAAGCUGACCGCGUUAUUAAAUAACCAGAACAUAAAACAGAAACAAAACAGACAGAAUGACCAACAGCACAUGAAAAGGCCCAUCAAUCAUUGGGUAGCAGAGAAGGUAAAAUGAUGAGAUACUACUAAACAUUAAUGGCUAAAAUAAAAGGAAGAAACAGUAGACAGACAGAAUGCAAAUAAAGGUGAGUGUGUGAGAAAACAGGUGUAUCACUGAUUGGGCCUAAAAACAUUGUAGCUGCUGUAGAUAAGAGCUAGAUAGUCCCUCCAGCGGUUAAACACAGAAUUAUCGAUGGGACCAGGAAAUUCCACUCCUAUAUAACCCAAGGAAUUGAAAACCAGUACUCAAACAGAAACAUGUGCGUGUAUGUUCACAGCAACAAUAUACACUGUAGCAAAGAAGCAGAAACAGCUAAGAGGUAGGAGUCCAUCAAUGUCAGUGGAUGAAUAAAUAAGCAAACAGCGUAGACAAAUGAUAGAAUACUUCUCAGCCAUAAGAGAAAAUACAGCAUAUAAUGUUAGAGAUGACAGCGCGAGUGAGCUUUCAAUAUGUUAUACUAAAUAAAAGGAGCGAGACACAAAGCAGCUACAUUGUUGCCAGAUUUCAUUUAUAGGAAAUGCUCAAACCAGGCAAACCCACAGCAAAAAAAAAAAAAAAAAAAAAAAAAAAAAAAAAGUUGUUCCACGGUUGCUAGGGGUUAGGAGUAAGAGGAAGGGGAAGUGGCUGUUUAACGAUACAGAGCUUCCUUCUAAGGUGACGAAAUGCUUUGGAAGCAGAUAGUGAUAACAGCCGAAGGAGCUUAAAUGACACUGUGCACUGCACUUAAAGCUGUCAAAAUGGCGUGCAAGGUGUGUUUUGCCAUACUAUAAAAACACGACAGUGCCUAACAGUGUGAGCACAGCUUCCUAUCAAAGAAGGAUGCACAGAGAGCAGGGUUAAAAGAGCUCUAUUGACUGGCUGAGCAGACACACUGUGACUCUUUCUUCUCCUGUCACUCCUUGCAUGUGCACACAUGUCCACACCAGGGGUCGAAGUCAGGUGUCUUCCUCAGUCACUCUCCUCCACAUUUGUUAAGGGCAGGGUGUCUCACUAAACCAAGAAGUCACCAACUGAGCUAGCCUGGGUCCAGGGACCACCUGUCUCCACCCUUCCCACAGCCCAGUGCUGAGGUUAGAGCUAGAUGCUACCCUGCGACCCCAAAGGCUUUAUGUGGGUGUGGGAUCAAACUUCCUGCUGUGAGGCUGGCACUCAACCCAGUGAGCCAUCUCCCCAGGCCCAUAAUACCAUUUUUAUUACAAAAUAUUUUUAUACUAUAAACUGAAACAACAAUUUCAGAAGAUAUGACUUCCUGACACUCUGGAGCUCAGCCAGACAAGAUAAAGAGAAUAAAUAAUGAGGAAUCUAAAACCACAGGGCAAGAGGAAGUCAGCAGCACACCCUGCUAGCCGUAGAGGCUGAGGCUACAGUAGCUGGAGGAAGCCCAUCCUGCCCAAAGUUGGGGUUGUGGCCCUAAAGCUGCAGACUCGUCAGUAAAAUGCCCCAAUUUUUACAAAGUUGGAAAUUUAUUCAAUAUGUUUCAAACACUACAGGCCAAACAAAACACAUCUUUAGACCAGAUGUAGGCCACAGACGCCAGUUGGUAAAUUCUAGUUCAUAGAAAAAGAGUGUUUACCCUGGUGGGGGAAAGGGAGUGCUUUGAAAAAAACUAUAGUUAAGCUCUCAGAAAGGGGAUAAAGUGGCCGAGUGGGAGGCUGGGAGGGGAGGAUUUUCCCUCUAGGAGGUCAAACAGGACACAGCAUAUAGGGGUGUGGUUUCUAAUGACAGAGCAGGUGUUCAUCAGCAAAGGAGACGGAGGAUACAGUGGCUGCAGUCCUUGCGGUGAUCCAAAAAAGUCUAAAAACCAGGAUUCCCGCUUUGGGUUGGAAGGUGGGUCAGACCUACGGCUCUCCUGGACUCCCAGACCUGAAAUGACUUUAAACAGUGUCUUCCUGCUGGCACUCACGCUCUGACACAGGAGACCUUGGGGACCCAACCCAGGGGUUUUCUCGCCCACCAUGGCAGUUAAAGGAGACAGAAAAGGACUGAGGGAAGAAUGGGUCCCCAGAACCCAUCACAGGCUGAGCUUUAUAAGUGUCUACCCUAUCUGACUGAAGUCCCCACAGCUCCCGGGAUGCGUGACACAGUGCCACCGUCUACAGGUGUGCGUGUGAGGACCUCACGGUCAGGUUUUCCAAACAGCCUCAAAAGCACUCUCACAGUUUAAGUUUUGAUUUUGUGUCAGAUUACAUUAAUAACUAGAUUUGCCACAUGUACCGCACAGGCCUACCAUGCCUGGUAGCAAGGUCAGCACAAUCAGAAGUCUCUAACCUGGUUCCUCAGGGGAAACUGAGACUGUGAGUUUAAGGGUAGCCCAAAGUGUCUGCCAUGAAGAUCUUUUAUGAAGGUCUUUUUGUCCCCAUAUCUCAUGGGUGUUCCCCUGAACCGCAGUCUUCUUCCUACCCAUUCAAACAACAUGACACUAAUGCCUCGAUGUGCCAGUGUGCUAGGUGUGUUACCAGGACAGUCCCCAGCCUCUGCCAUCUAAGGAAGGGGAACAGAAGCAAACAACGACAUCUCCAGGCGAGGGUGAGGGUGUCAAAAAAAGAGGGUCUCCAACCCAACUGUGUCAGGGAGUAAGGGCUUCCAGAUAAGCUUUUGUUAAACUGAGACCCUAACUGACAGGGGAUGGAUAUAGGACUCCAGGCUAAAGGGGGAACAGUGGUCAGAGGGACCUUAACACACAGGGAGACACAAUCGGGCCAGGAUUGCUGGGCACAGGGUGUCAUGAGGUAAGUGACAAAGCGAGAGUCAGCUAGAAAGACAGGGCAAAGCCGAGGCGCCUCACUUGUGCUAUGCUAAGUCUUUGUCACUUCUUUCUCAAACAAUCGGGAAGUGUGAAUGUAAGGUUUAGCCCAAAGGAGUGAUAUACUCAAGCUCCCAGGGUAGAACAGACCAGUCAAGUAUGAAAAUAAACCAGCAAAACAGGACUUCAUGCAAGGAGACCACAUGCAGACUGCUGUGGCAGUAAGUCAGUCACAAUGUGGUGACAAUCCACUCGGUGACAAUCCACUCCAAAGCGGUAGCAGGAAGAUGCUAGCCAGCAGCCAUGGCUCAUGCCCACCCUCUGAGUGAUGCUGUAGGAUUACAGCCCUUUCUAUGAACACUCAGGCUAGACACACAGGACUGCCGAAAGCAGACACCAUGGAACCUGCGCUAUUAGUCCUCGGCCAAGCAGUAGGUAUCCAGAAAAGGAAUUUCGGAACUAUUAAAUAACAGACAGACCGUCCACUGGUUGAUUGUGUUUAUUCAUAAUGAAGAGAGGAUUUGGCUCCUCCAUCAGCCAUUCUCGAAGAAUCAUUAAGCAUCAGGACCAAUUAAUAAGGUCAUCGGUACUUCAGAAUUGUGUUCCUAAAAUCCAUCAUCUAAGAUUAUAUGCUCAUCCUGCUUCCUUCAAGGAAAUUAAGAAGAACCUGCCUUCAUCCUAAUCCAUCAUCCUCAAGUAAAAAUACCUGUUUUUAAGUAGAGGUGGAAAUUAAACUAAUAAACUAGAAAAUACCAAAAACUUAUUAAAUGUGGCCUUGUGCUGAAUCAAAUGGAAAUUCUCUACUAGGGACAGUAACUAGGAGUUAUUGGAACAAGUUUACCUAGAAGAUGGUCUAUAACAGGCAACUAGGAAACCAGGGCUCCGAGGCAGGCAGGGGUGUGUGAAGACUGCCUUUAUCUCCACAGACUGGACCUAGUUAGUGUGCAUCCUGACUCCUGGCAUGUCCGGGUGUCCUUACCAGUUCUUGUUGUCCACAUUGCUGUUAAGCAUUCCUGCCAUUCCUCCACCCCACCCCAGUGUGACAGCCACCCUCCUUAAGCAGCUGUGCCUGCCACAGCAUGCUGAGCUGCUUCUCCCUUAGAAGGGACUGCUAUUUUUGUGACCCUCCUCAGAUGACUCUUCCGACCUUUUAUCAUUCCAGAAUCAAAGCAGCUAGGAAGAGAGAGAGUGCAUUAAAUGAAACAGCCUCCAUCCGUGUCCAUAUCUCUCCUGGAACACUGCCCUGAGCACAUCAGCUCAAAUCCUUGUCAGGGAUCUGAAAUCACAGGAAAUGCCCUCUGUGGCGGAGCCAUCUUUCCUGAAUAUACUCAUUGCUUUCUUCAAGGUAUAUACGUUACAGAUGCUCAAAGACAUAUGAGAUUUGUUAAUUAUUUUCAGAUAUCUUCUAACUAACUUCGCAGGAAAAAAAUCUCAGAACCAAAGUGGGAGCUCAGGCUGUCCACAGGUGCCCUCCAGGUGAGUGCUUGCUGUUAGGGGACAGCCACAUACUCCAAGCACCAAGGAGAGACCUAAGGGAAGGUUGUCUUCUCCUUCAUUCUGGGAAGAGUGAGCAAUUCAUCCUCCACCACCCCCUUCUGCCCACACCCAUGAAAGUGGGCGUAAAUACAUUUCAAUCUCCAAAUAUGGGACUCAAUUACUAGUAGGGGGUGGGUAAUCAGGUAAAGCUAAGCCAGGCCUCCCAUGGGGCACCUGACUUCACUGAUAGUUCUCAUCCAAUGCUUUUGAGUAGGUUAUAACAGUAACCUUGGAGUAUAGUAAUCCCAAACCCCAUGAAAGUGACCCACUUUGUCUGAGCUAUUUGCCUGCCUCUCUCUGGACAAGGUGUGAGUCAUCAGUUCGGCUAUGUAAAAAAAUAGGCACUUAGAAUAAAGGCAACAUAGACUUAACAGCCAAUGCUCUUAGAGGCUCCAGGCUGCUCAAGUAAGUUGUCCAUUUUCGUGCUGUGGCUGACUCACAUGCUUUUCAGACAUGAAAAACAAAGAUGAUCUGGGCAGUUUUUCAAUGAGCCACAUCUUUAUAAGACCCCAAGUCUGAUUGUACCAAAACUCAUUUCUUAUGCAAAUAUAUGCCCCCAGAAUAGAAUAAAUCUGAAACAACAGACAACCAAAGCAAAAAAAAAACAAAACAAAACAAAACAAAACAAAACUCUAGCAGGUGUCACACUUCAGGUAAACCAUUCUCCAAAGCUGGCUGGAAUGGACCUUAUGGAUUCCCCAGCUGCUCUUGAGUGGGAGAGCAUGUGAGCAGAGCCAUGAUAGUGGCUGGAGAGAGGCUUAACCAAUACCCAGCUGAGUCAGGUCAGAAACUGAGGCUGGACGUGGAGUGAGAGGCUGAAGGGCAAGCAUGUCCCCACCACCAUUGAGGAAGCAGUAAAUAUUCAGGGUGGAGUCUGGCGAGAGCAGCAUUGCAGGGAGAACGGGUCUGUGAGUUCAUCCCACCCCUUCCAUCCCGCCACCACUGUGACCUCUAAUGUGCCCUGGACUAAAGAGACAUAUAGGGUUCCGUGAACUCCUUACCCUUUCUCAGAGACCAUUCCUUGCAUCCCACCCCUCCCAUGUGGCUAGGGUCAGCCAUUCUCUAGGUACCUUCUCCUGACCCCAAGGCCAGUCAUUUUGUGGUUCUUACAGACACUGGGUCCUCUCUCUCUUCUUGUAUUUACUUCACCUGAGCUAUGGUUUGUGAUGACAAGAGAGCCAGUGAGCACACAAGUCACUUAGUCACUUUCUCUUCCAUACAGGUCUGUGAACGGCACGCCAGUGAGAGAAAUUAGUAAUCCAAAGUAAGCUCUCCCCUGAGACUGAUUUUCAUAACACAAUCCUCAAAGAGGCCAUCUUUAUCAUACAGCCUAAUUUAAACCCCAAAUAAGGGGGGCAGACAGGGUUUGUACAAAAACUCAUUUCCCACAGAUUUAAUGAUUGCCUAGUCAGUCUAUUGCUGCUUAGACAGAACUCCCAAGUUUCCCGCCCUGGUGUCUACCACUGUAUCCCUAGUGCCCAGCACAGAGCAUGUCCUCAAUAAUUCCAUAGUCAUAAUUCAUUUUAACUCAUUCAUGUUCAUUCGAAAUAGCACACUUGAUCACUCUGCCUCUUCUACUCUAGUUUGUAACACAUGAUCAAUCAAUAAGAUCAUCUCACAGAAAAAUAUCCACAGAGGUAAAUAUUCUAUAAUCCAGUGAUGACCGUGUUUUAUAUCAUACAUGAUUUGGCGCCAAAGAAUUCAAUUCCUCUAUAAGAGAGGAAGAUGAGCAUGCAUACCUCCAAGAAGCAGUCAAUGGCCACAUGCUCCAGAGUGAAAGAAAAAUGGAUAUUCAACUCCACAGAUCCACUGGUCUCAAUCUCAGUACAGGAGGAGCACACUACAUAGAGCUUAAAGGAUUCUGGAUGUUCAAAGGCAUAUUUCAUAGAAGUUGAUCCCUAAAUGCAAGCUAUCUAUUUAUCUGGUGCUCAAAGAAGUAGCAAUCGGUUUUAACUCUAGAGGCAAAACUGGCUGUGUUAGCCUCAAGAAGACAGAGUGGGUAGGCUGCCAAGUUGAACCCUCACCGGGGGAUUUUUUUAAGGUCGCUCUGAAUCUACAAGCUGUACGCAUUUUGUAAGGGGCAGAAACACUGCCACUCACUCAGCAAGCAGCCAGCCCUCUUCACAGCCUCAUGCACCACCUAAAACGGGGUUGGACGUUAAGGAGACCUCUGGAGGACAGCAUUGUUCAUCUGCUUACAGGAGUGCCCUGCAAAAGAAGUGUGCAACACAGAUAGCAGUAUUUUUUGCUCCAGCACGGGGUCAGGUUCCAGCACACCAUCUUCCAGUCGCUUUCCUGGUUUUUCUAAGAGCAACCAAACUAUCCACGAGGUGAUUAUUCCAGACAGCCCACUCAAAAUGUUUUUGACCUUUCUUUUUCUAAAUGGUUUCAACACCUUAUUUCGAGACCUCUAUUAAAUAUAUUAAGCAUAUUUAACCUUAGCUAAAAUAAAUCCACCUAAUUAGACGAUAAAAAAGGAACAGCUCAUUAGCAGAGAAUGGGUAAACAUUUUCUCCACUCCAGCUAAGCACUGCUUACAGUACUCUAUGAUGUUAUCAUAAUGCCACUGUCAGCCUUUUGUGCUAAGCAUAAAAAUGUCACUGAACAACUAACACGACUGGACCUGUCUCUUCCAGAUUGACUCUCACUAUCUGGCCAAUGUAAGCCAAGAGUGUUUUCAUCACCAAGGCAACUCUAACGCCUUUAAUGGCCUGGCUUACUAGACAUUUUGAGUGAACAACCUUAGAGUUCUUUCUCUUUCUUUUCUUUUUUAGAAUAGUAUAUAUCCCAACUACGCUGACUCCAAGAGAUGUAUGUAUUUACAACAUUAAGAAUACAGACUAUUUUAUGCUAGGUUUCUUUGAUGCUUUGGGAAAUUUAGGAUCACAUUAAGCAAUCGAGUCACUUCAGAGGCAAGAGUCAAAGCCCAGGCAGAGGGGUGCUGGCUGUGCCCUCCCAUGAGCUAUGCCCGUCUCCAUGCUGUUCCCAUCACUCCAUGGGCAGUUACCAUACAGAACAAUUUGCUGUGAGCUCAAGGCUUUCUGUCUAAGGUUUAUUGGAUGACAGCUAUUUUAGGAAAAAACAAAAACAAAAACAAACAAACAAACAAAAAACAAGAAGCUUCUUAUGUCCAAUCUCAUGGAGAUAAUGAAAAUAGAAAUGGAAUUGUCUGCAUUUAUUUCAAAUAUCACUUUAAGCUGGAUGUGGAAACAGGCCCAUAACACCAACACUCUAGAGGCUGAGGCAGGAAGAUCAACGUGGUUCAAGGCCAAGGCCAAUGUAGGUUUUAAGACCGUAUCUCAAAACAAGAUUUUUUUUUUUUUAAGAAUGUCACAUCAACACAUUUUUAAAGACUUGGAGAAAUACACAUGUAAUAUUAAAUGACAAAAAAGAGAACCUGAAAACCAUAUCCAAGGCCUAUCAUAAUAUCUAACACAUUUGAAUUAUUUAGAUAAACUAAAAUAUAUGUUAACUAAUAUAUACACGAGAGAAGAACUCUAUAUAUUAAGUAAAUAUAUAAAUGAUUCUGAAGGACAUUUAAGAGGAAAAGUACCAAAUCAACACUUAUCUCCUAGUCAUUGGAUUAUAAGCGAAUUCUUUUCUGUUUUGUAUUUUCUUCAUCUGUAUAUUCCACACUUUACAGUUUAUCUAUCUUCCUCUGAAACAGUUGGGAGAUAAAAAAAGGAACGUAAAAAGGAAAUGCACAAUCAGCCAUUGGAGUUAAGCUGCUUCUUAGCUAGGAUUUUCAAAGCAAAGUGAGAAUCCCCAACAGCUCAGGCAGAGGCAAGGCCCCCUGCAGGUCACAGACUCCCCUCCUGCUGGGUCAAAGUGGAAUUGUGGGCUAGAAGCAUUCACAGCUAAGCUGGAAACGCAUGCUCUUUGUAGCUGCUGCCUCAGUGCAGCUCCCUGAGCUGGGCUGACACAUUAAGCCUAAGGGGGAAAACCACCAUUUUUAUUUCACUCUGUGAAGAACAUUAAAAAAAUAAACAGCCAAUGUUUUCACCAGAAGUUUUUGUUGUAGUUUGAUCCUUGCCCUUUACGUUGCACGAAGAGAAGACUAUUUCGAAUGCUCACUUGCUAACGUUCAGCAGCUGAAGAUUUUGAGAGCAUGAAGUCCUUACGCGCAAGUGUCAUCAGACAUUCACAGUACCUCAACUGAACACUGGAAAGGGAAGCGUGUGAAGGCACAAGUUCUGUGUGUCCCAUGUAUCCACUCCUGAAACCAUGGAUUAGAGAAAAAAAAAAUCUUGAGUAAUGGAGGAUGGUCUUGAAUGGCUUCAAUUAGCUGAGAGAAAGGUUUCUGGCUGAACGCCAUAUGUUGCCAAUGAGAAAGCUAUGCACUCCAGGUUGGCCCCCGUAUCUGAAAGAAAUAUCUGGUACUUCAAAAGAUAUACAUCUAAAUACUGUCACUAAGUAGCCAUUUAAUUAAAACUAAUGUCUCAGCAUAAAUCCUGGAGGCCCAAGGGGGAUAGUUUUAGAAAUCAACCUGCAAUUAAGACUUUGGGGCUAAUUAUGUGGCAACAGAGGCCCAGGGAGGAGGCACACUGGUGCUCAGUAAAGCCUUCAACUCUGGUGGCAGAAUUUAUGACGCCGUUUCCUCCUUGCUGUCUUCCAAUUUGUAUUCAGUGUCACAGCUCUGAUUAACAGCUGCAUCUGCAGCUCUCACCAGGCAAGCAGUGAGGCAGAAAGAACCCAAAGGUUAAAAUCAAACAGAUCCAGGUUCAAGGGUGGACCCUCCUCCCUGUUGGUGCCUGACUUGUUUAAACCAGAAGGAAAUACCAACCCCAUGGGUGAGCCACUGCAAUCAGGACAGCUCUGAGUGAGAAAACAGGCUCUAAAGUCCUUGUGUCUGCUACGGCUUCCAAAUGCACUGCCUCCUCUGAAAAUUCUCAUGAGAGCCAUAGCUGUAGUCAAGAGAGCAGACAAGUUGCCUCUCACCUUAAAAGUCUCUAAUGAGAAAAGUACUGCUCACCCCCACAUUGCAGUCUCCCUGGAAAUUUAAGCUGUGUCUGGAUCUCUAGGUGAACCAACCGUGUAGCAUUCUGCUGUCACCACAGAAAAGAAAAUCUGUGAGUCUUCCAUUCAUCUACCUCUCUCGGUCUCAGGUGUGUUCCCUCCUAAAUACCUGUGAUUCGGACACGCCUGUUCUUGACUGCCUUUGGCACUUAGGUAGGCACAGAACCCAGAGUCUUUUUCUAGGCACUGACUAAAUAUUAAGGGAGCAUGGGUUAUUGUGUGGAGAAAGCUACACGUCACCAUCUCCCUCUUCUCAGAUCUGGAAGGCAGUAGACUUCUCAACUCUGCCUUGAAAUGACAUGAAAUGCAAGGCAGCCCUCAGCUGGCUUUGUAAGCAAGCACCCAGAUAUAAAACCCAGCCAGUCAACAUCACUCCUCUAGCCACAGAGGAAGAGGGCAGACAACUUCUUACCACCCCAAAUAGGACUGAGCGCCUUAGAGGCAAAUGGCCCCAGCAGAAUCAUCAGUACUCCAUAUCAUAAAAAUAUAAAAGCUUCCUAUAAACUCAAGAGGAGCUUUAGGCCAUUUUCCCAUUACUGUGUGCCUAAGCAGCCUGGUUUUGCUAGAAAACACUAUCAUUUAAUUUACUUUCCACUUCUUCUCUUGAUCUAAUAACCUCCGCAUUAUUAGACAUUCCAAGAAGAUCACAAUGGCCUCCCACACGCUGGCUGGCUCUUGAGCUUCGGCCAGUUGAAUCCCUAAAGGAGACAAAGAAAGAUCCAGGGUAUCCAAUAUAACACAAAUACCAACAGGGGUCGUGUAAACUAGCGUCAGCGCUGAGACUCAAAAGCCAUCCAGCCACUGGCAUUUACACUAAGGUAGAAAGAUCCUAACCACUGCACCAACCCCGCAAUGCUUGAAUAAGAGAGAGACGAGCUACUAUGAUUUAACAGACGCUCCUGCAAGGACAGCAGACCAGCCCCUGGGUCCCACAUCCCUUGAAAUCACCAGGUAAAACCGUUCAAAAAUUAAGUGACGUGAAGAUGGCAGGGUACCCAGUCCAAAAGAAGGUGCUUUCCACUUUUGUGGAAAGCCACAAUGGUUCUGAAUCACUCACGUCUCUCCUCCCCAAGGUGCCCCCCUGACCUUUCUGGCCUGUGGGGUAUGAAAGUACACCAGGGUUUUAGCAACUAUGGGUCCAGUUUUCUCAUCUGCUAGAUGAAUGGGUUGGGAGGCACAUUCUGUUAUUCUUCUUCUUCUUUCCAGAUCCAAAAGCCCACAGUUCAGCUCAGAAGACACAACUCCUACAAAGUUUCCAAAAACAUUUGAGCAAUUGGUCCCAAGGGAACUCACUUUUAGCAACAAAGGCCUCCACUCCUGGCUGAAAAUAUCCGUCCCUUCUGCUUCCUAUUGCUGAUGAAAUAAGACGGGCAGGGACCCGAGGUCUUGAGUACAGACAUGAGGCUGUCCAGUCAAAGCAUUCGAAUGAGAGGAAGAGCUAACAUCUGAAUAGGG
rnacentral:sRNA from 1 species